GACGAACGCUGGCGGCGUGCUUAACACAUACAAGUCGAACGGAAAGGCCUGCUUUCCCUUGUGGAUUGCGGGUACUCGAGUGGCGAACGGGUGAGUAACACGUGAGUGAUCUGCCCCCAACUUGGGUAUAAGCCUGGGAAACUGGGUCUAAUUCCCGAUAGGACUGCAGGGUGGUGCCUGUGGUGGAAAACGAUUUUCUAGUGGUUGGGGAUGAGCUCGCGGCCUAUCAGCUUGUUGGUGGGGUAAUGGCCUACCAAGGCGGCGACGGGUAGCCGGCCUGAGAGGGUGGACGGCCACAUUGGGACUGAGAUACGGCCCAGACUCCUACGGGAGGCGGCAGUGGGGAAUAUUGCACAAUGGGCGGAAGCCUGAUGCAGCGACGCCGCGUGGGGGAUGACGGCCUUCGGGUUGUAAACUCCUUUCGACCGCGAGGAAGCCACCUGGUUGGAAGGGUGGUGACGGUAGUGGUAGAAGAAGCACCGGCUAACUACGUG
rnacentral:rRNA from 1 species